UUAUUCCGAGGUCUACAACAUUAUAUAUGAAAUCACAUAUUGGGGUGUGUGCUAAACCUUCAGGACUCUGGAGGCAAGUGGAGCAGCCCUAAAGAGUCAUGGCAGAACUGUGAGGGGUGCUCUCAGGCAUUUCUUGGUGCAACUCAAGAUGAGGCGGUCGUUGUGAAGAAAUGGACUAAGAGAGUCAGAAAACUCUUUGGACGUUGGUGUUCAACGGUUAGCCAUGGCCAGUGUUGCUUGUUCCUUAGAAGUUGGGUCCUAGGAUCCUCAGGCAUUAUGAAAUAAUGCAUCUUAAGAUCCUCGUCCCAGAUGCGACUUCGCAUGACCACGGUGUCAAGCUACAGAAAUGGAAUUUACAAGUCCUGAUUAAUCCUGGGCUCUCACUAAUAUUGAAAAAGCUACAUCCAGGUAGCAGGGUAACCUCCGUCAUAAUAAAGAAAAACAGAAUUUCAAAAGCUGAUUCUUAUUUUGUAUUUAGACUCCAGGAAGACUUCACAUGCUAUAUGUACCCUCGGUCUAGCUUUUGAAAGACACGGUUUUGUGCACCAUUUCAGGAAAAAGGAUGGGUGACUGAACACAACUGAUUAAUUUUGUGAAUGGAUUCAAGCUUCAAAAAUGCAAAGAAUGGCAUUUUUAUGGAUUAAUUUGGCACAUGGGAUGCUGCUGUAAACUCGUCAAUUAAAUGUUGGUACUUGAA